AGGAUAGAGGGACGAAGGAGGAUGAAGGGAAGGAGGACGAGGAGGAGGAGGAGGAGGAGGAAGAAGAAGAAGGGGAUUCGGAGCUUUUGGGCAUCUUUCCCGCCGUCAUUCUUGUGCAUUCCCUCUAACGGGGAACUGAGAACGAGUGCUCACCAAGCGUGGAACACGGAAGGCGCUUUCUCCUAAGGCCCUAGCUAAAGAAGAGGAAUUGAGGGAGAAAAUGGAAAAGGAAGGGAACAUACUGGCAUGAAGGAAGUCGGGCAUUCUUUUCAACGUAGGAAACGGAGACCAGGAAAGACCCGAGUGGAUGAGAAGAAUGACUCUCUGACAAGCCUCAAGAUCAAAGGUUCCCAAGAACCCGUCUCCAAAAAGGUAGAACAUACCCACUCAUCCCCACCUAAAAGUCUCCCAAUGACAGCCAUGUCGAAUAUUUCCCCAACAAGACCAAGCUUGGUUAGUCACCCUGGGACAGAAUGGAGGCCAUGGUCCAAGUCGUUCAAAUAAAGGAGGACUUGGUGCCUUUCGGAUGGAUGAUGUGAUCACCACUGGAUGGAGAGUUCAGAGGGGAGGAGGAGAAGGAGGAGGAGGAGGAGGAUGCUCGAAGGAGGCCGGGGAAAGAAGCUCUCUCAUGCAGAGAGUGAACAGGAAGGAAGGAGGAUGCGCCCAUUCUCUCUGGUUCAGGGCCUAUUUACACUGACCCUCAGAAUUUCAAACUUCCCUUGCUCUCUGUUCCAGAGGGUGAACCCAGAGUUGCCAAGCUCCCAAAAAGAUUCAUUAUUCCUAGAACUCUUCACAACUAUGGUUUAUCUUCCUCUUGAGUUGGGGCCUUGGAUUUGGUUUCUGUCAUUGAUUAUUCCACGUUUUUCACAUGCCUUUUUCUUUUCUCUUUUGUUUCAGAGUCACCCAUUUCUUGAAACAAUACGAUACUACUCGUUGUUGUGCGGUGUGGUGCGUAUCUCUCUCUACAUACGUAUGUGUUGAUGUUAAAGAAUUUUCCUGCCAAUUUCUCUAAGAGGAAUUGCGUAUUGUACGAUGGAGGGAAGGUCCCUGUGUGGUUUGGUAAGGAUGUCGUAAGUCCGAGGAUGCCUUCCAAGCUCCAUCGAGUGGUGCUGCUUUCUGGAUUGGUGGAAAAAGGAGAGGGAGACUACCCAACGCCAACGUAACAUGGAAGGGAAGGGAAGGGAAGCGGCAUGGAACAAAGCGACAUGGAAUUGACGUGUCCAAUCCAGUCAAACCACAAAGCCCAAUGAUCCGUGAAACGGGUGGCCUGAUGGAAAGUUCUCAUUUCGUCUGGCAGUGCAGUUUAUAGGAAAACCUCAAGAACAUCUUUUCUUGUCUUAUUUCCAUAUUGAAGACUCUUGCUUUCCAAAAAGGCGGCCUAAGACCCUACGGCUUUAUCUAAGUUGAAUAAAUGAACGGCCUUGACAAAGGCGCCCACCUCACUACUACCACCACC